GAUGAACGCUGGCGGCGUGCCUAAUACAUGCAAGUCGAGCGAACGGACGAGAAGCUUGCUUCUCUGAUGUUAGCGGCGGACGGGUGAGUAACACGUGGAUAACCUACCUAUAAGACUGGGAUAACUUCGGGACACCGGAGCUAAUACCGGAUGAUAUUUUGAACCGCAUGGUUCAAAAGUGAAAGACGGUCUUGCUGUCACUUAUAGAUGGAUCCGCGCUGCAUUAGCUAGUUGGUAAGGUAACGGCUUACCAAGGCAACGAUGCAUAGCCGACCUGAGAGGGGGAUCGGCCACACGGGAACUGAGACACGGUCCAGACUCCUACGGGAGGCAGCAGUAGGGAAUCUUCCGCAAUGGGCGAAAGCCUGACGGAGCAACGCCGCGUGAGUGAUGAAGGUCUUCGGAUCGUAAAACUCUGUUAUUAGGGAAGAACAUAUGUGUAAGUAACUGUGCACAUCUUGACGGUACCUAAUCAGAAAGCCACGGCUAACUACGUG
rnacentral:rRNA from 1 species